GACGAACGCUGGCGGCGUGCCUAAUACAUGCAAGUCGAACGCUUUUUCUUUCACCGGAGCUUGCUCCACCGAAAGAAAAAGAGUGGCGAACGGGUGAGUAACACGUGGGUAACCUGCCCAUCAGAAGGGGAUAACACUUGGAAACAGGUGCUAAUACCGUAUAACACUAUUUUCCGCAUGGAAGAAAGUUGAAAGGCGCUUUUGCGUCACUGAUGGAUGGACCCGCGGUGCAUUAGCUAGUUGGUGAGGUAACGGCUCACCAAGGCAACGAUGCAUAGCCGACCUGGGAGGGUGAUCGGCCACACUGGGACUGAGACACGGCCCAGACUCCUACGGGAGGUAGCAGUAGGGAAUCUUCGGCAAUGGACGAAAGUCUGACCGAGCAACGCCGCGUGAGUGAAGAAGGUUUUCGGAUCGUAAAACUCUGUUGUUAGAGAAGAACAAGGAUGAGAGUAAAACGUUCAUCCCUUGACGGUAUCUAACCAGAAAGCCACGGCUAACUACGUGCCAGCAGCCGCCGUAA
rnacentral:rRNA from 1 species